UCCCUCAACGCCUUCGUCUUCCGCAUCCACCGCUACGUGUCCCGGUCGCUGCAUCGCCGAUGCCUCCCGUCUCGGCUCAUCGCCCACAGGCUCCGCUGCAUCUACGCCGACCGCAUCCGCACCCCGAGCCUCGCUUCGGCCCCGUCUCCGUCUCCUCCGGCUGCCACGAGGUUCCGCUUGCGGUGCGUUCCGAGCUUCGCUGCUCCUCUCGGUGCGUUCGGCGGACGCGGCGGCGGCGGCGGCGGCGGCGCCGGUGUGAAGGCGAAAUCAGUCGUGGAUGGAGCAGAGGAAGUGUCGGCCGUCUCCUCGGAUGGUAUAAUUCUCGACGUCGGACAUUGGACAGCCUCAAGUAUCUGCCGCCAGCGUCAAUCUUACAACUGGGACAUCUAUUGUAUGGCCCGUAUCUGAAGCCAAGGCUGUAGCAAAUUGGCAAAAAGAGUUGGGAGAAUUACUUGCAGAACACUUGACAAAUUGUGGCUUAAUGUCUAACCCUCGAGUGGGUUGUUGACAAGUUCUCAGAAUGCUCUCAUUAAUUUGGUUUUGUGACUUCUGAUGAGAAGCAAGCAAUGGGUGAGGCUAUUGAGGCUAUGAAUGGGAUGGACUUGGAUGGGAGAAAUAUCAAUGAGGAAAAAGCUUGGCCUCAAGGUUCAGGUAGAGACCAAGAUGGUGAUCGCAGUUCUGAUCAUGGCCCUAAUAGGGAUAGUGGUACUCAAGGAGGAUCAGGAAAUGACUGCUAAAUCAGGACCGUUCUGGUCCCUAUGAACAUUGUGGUACAGGAAACUUCCGUUCGGGGUAGAAAGAAUAUUGCUGAUAGCAGCACAAUUGGAGGUACUGCUGUUACUUGCUGGAGCCAAAGUCCCUUCCGUUGCAUCUCUUCUUUAUUGUUCUCUGGGUGGACAAAUCUGCUUGAUCAGUCUUUUGAUGUGCGAACUUUGGCUAAAAGAUUCAAUUAUUUAAUGUCCGUGAAUGCUCGUUUUGAUAGUUUGGUCUGAUGACAUUGCUUGCUUGACUUAAACAAUCAAAUUUGGCCUUAAUCUGUCAAGGCUACGAUGGGUAGUGAAUUCUCUUUCGCUUACAAGCUUUAGCAAUUGCAAAUGCAUCUGAGAUUGAUCUUGGUUGACUUCUUCAUUGGCAUUUGCGACUGUGGAGCGCAUACAGCUUUCUGGUGUCUAGAAGGCUCUUUUGAGGAUAGGACAAGAGAUUCACCCGUGGAAGUAUUGCGUUCUCUUUUUGCAAAAGAGAAGCUGCCUUAGAAAUGAAUGCCUCUUUUGGCUACAAUUUUUCAAAAGUCUUGAACUUUUUGAAGAGGCGUUAAGUGGGUAAACGCUAUCUUUUCCUAUACACAUUUAACAUGUGAGCUUCCUGUCCAUAGUCUGCACUAUAUAAACUCUGCUAAGCUUUCGGCAGUCUUCUUGGCUGUUUGUGGUGUUUUGAUACACGUUCCUGUUACUUUCAUGUCAUAGGACGUGGAUUUAGCCUUAAAAAUUCUGAAUAGUUCUUUUGUCCUCGGGAAGCUAUUACUUUCUGCAAUUAACUCUGUAAAAUUCCAUCUCACCUUCCACACAUUGUACUGAUGGAUGAGUUCUUUCUCAGUAAAACGUGAUCUUUUGGAAGCUUUGGUGAGCAUGUCAAUUUGAUUUGCAUUGUCUUCUUCCUAGCGAUAUCCUGUCUGUUGUCAUCAUCUUCAGUGGAAGAUAUCUGGUCUCUGUCUCCUCCGUUUGCAUGGUGCUUCUAUCUUGUUAGGUUUCCUGGAUAAGUUACCCUUUCAGGUGUAAUGACAGCUCUUCCUUUGAACUGGCAAUGUUCCUAAUAAACACCUGGUUCUUUUCGCUUGGGCAGCUGUGCGUGCAUUGACUUGCAUUUAUGCACUAAUGAUCUUCGCUACACACUUUCAGCCAAUCAUUUGUGAUUGAUCAUGUAUUUUCCCCCUUAUUCUUCUAGAAGUUGUGCUUGCUCCAUUUAAAAUUGGUACUGGGUUUGAUACUCUAGAAAUA